rnacentral:misc_RNA from 1 species
CUGAGAACUUGCCCUUAAGGGUAGAUCUCCCACCCUGUGUUUACAUACUUUGUUGCUUUGGCAGGCCUGCCUCUGCUACUGGCCUCGGCUAGUUAGUGCCUGCCAGAGAAUCAACACCCUGAAUUAUUUAUUGUCUGAGUACUAUUCAAUAGUUA